GAUGAACGCUAGCGGGAGGCCUAACACAUGCAAGCCGAGCGGUAUUGUUUCUUCGGAAAUGAGAGAGCGGCGUACGGGUGCGGAACACGUGUGCAACCUGCCUUUAUCUGGGGGAUAGCCUUUCGAAAGGAAGAUUAAUACUCCAUAACAUAUUGAACGGCAUCGUUUAAUAUUGAAAGCUCCGGCGGAUAGAGAUGGGCACGCGCAAGAUUAGCUAGUUGGUGAGGUAACGGCUCACCAAGGCGAUGAUCUUUAGGGGGCCUGAGAGGGUGAUCCCCCACACUGGUACUGAGACACGGACCAGACUCCUACGGGAGGCAGCAGUGAGGAAUAUUGGUCAAUGGGUGCAAGCCUGAACCAGCCAUCCCGCGUGAAGGACGACUGCCCUAUGGGUUGUAAACUUCUUUUGUAUAGGGAUAAACCUACCCUCGUGAGGGUAGCUGAAGGUACUAUACGAAUAAGCACCGGCUAACUCCGUGCCAGCCGCCGCUGUAACAC
rnacentral:rRNA from 1 species